rnacentral:rRNA from 1 species
AUUGAACGCUGGCGGCAGGCCUAACACAUGCAAGUCGAGCGGAGCGGCGGACGGGUGGGUAAUGCCUAGGAAUCUGCAUGGUAGUUGGGGAUAACGUCAGGGAACGGGAGCUAAUGCCGCAUACUAUCAGAUGAGCCUAGGGCGGCGUAGCUAGUUGGUGGGGUAAAGGCCUACCAAGGCGACGAUCCGUAACUGGUCUGAGAGGAUGAUCAGUCACACUGGAACUGAGACACGGUCCAGAGUCCUACGGGAGGCAGCAGGGGGGAAUAUUGGACAAUGGGCGAAAGCCUGAUCCAGCCAUGCCGCGUGUGUGAAGAAGGUCUUCGGAUUGUAAAGCACUGUAAGUUGGGAGGCGUUACCAACAGAAUAAGCACCGGCUAACUCCGUGCCAGCAGCCGCGGUAAUUC